rnacentral:rRNA from 1 species
AUUGAACGCUGGCGGAAUGCUUUACACAUGCAAGUCGAACGGCAGCACGGGGGCAACCCUGGUGGCGAGUGGCGAACGGGUGAGUAAUACAUCGGAACGUGCCCAGUCGUGGGGGAUAACGUAGCGAAAGCUACGCUAAUACCGCAUACGAACUCUGGUCGAAAGCGGGGGAUCGCAAGACCUCGCGCGAUUGGAGCGGCCGAUGGCAGAUUAGGUAGUUGGUGGGGUAAAGGCUCACCAAGCCGACGAUCUGUAGCUGGUCUGAGAGGACGACCAGCCACACUGGGACUGAGACACGGCCCAGACUCCUACGGGAGGCAGCAGUGGGGAAUUUUGGACAAUGGGCGAAAGCCUGAUCCAGCCAUUCCGCGUGCAGGAUGAAGGCCCUCGGGUUGUAAACUGCUUUUGUACGGAACGAAACGGCUCUGGUUAAUACCUGGAGCUAAUGACGGUACCGUAAGAAUAAGCACCGGCUAACUACGUGCCAGCCGCCGCGGUAAUAC